AUUGAACGCUGGCGGCAGGCCUAACACAUGCAAGUCGAACGAGUGGCGGACGGGUGAGUAAUGUCUGGGAAACUGCCCGAUGGAGGGGGAUAACUACUGGAAACGGUAGCUAAUACCGCAUACCAUCGGAUGUACCCAUAUGGGAUUAGCUUGUAGGUGAGGUAACGGCUGACCUAGUCGACGAUGCAUAGCCGGUCUGAGAGGAUGAUCGGCCACACUGGAACUGAGACACGGUCCAGACUCCGACGGGAGGCAGCAGUGGGGAAUAUUGCACAAUGGGCGAAAGCCUGACGCAGCCAUGCCGCGUGUAUGAAGAAGGCCGUCGGGUUGUAAAGUACUGUUAGCAGGGAGGCGGUACCUGAAGAAGAAGCCACGGCUAACUCCGUGCCAGCAGCCGCGGUAAUUC
rnacentral:rRNA from 1 species